rnacentral:rRNA from 1 species
CCUACGGGUGGCAGCAGUGAGGAAUAUUGGUCAAUGGGCGGAAGCCUGAACCAGCCAAGUCGCGUGAGGGAAUAAGGCCCUACGGGUCGUAAACCUCUUUUGCCGGGGAGCAAGGGCCGGGACGCGUCCCGGCCCGGAGAGUACCCGGAGAAAAAGCAUCGGCUAACUCCGUGCCAGCAGCCGCGGUAAUACGGAGGGUGCAAGCGUUGUCCGGAAUCAUGGGGCGUAAAGAGUUCGUAGGCGGCAUGUAAGGUCAGGUGGUAAAGGCGCAGGCUCAACCUGUGUAUGGCAGUUGAUACUUGCAAGCUGGAAUGCGGUAGAGGUAAAGGGAAUUCCUGGUGUAGCGGUGAAAUGCUUAGAUAUCAGGAGGAACAUCGGUGGCGUAAGCGCUUUACUGGGCCGUAAUUGACGCUGAGGAACGAAAGCCAGGGUAGCAAAUGGGAUUAGAUACCCCAGUAGUC